AGCAGUGAGGAAUAUUGGUCAAUGGGCGAGAGCCUGAACCAGCCAUGCCGCGUGCAGGAAGACGGCCUUAUGGGUUGUAAACUGCUUUUAUAGGGGAAUAAAACUUUCUACGUGUAGAGAGCUGAAGGUACCCGAAGAAUAAGCAUCGGCUAACUCCGUGCCAGCAGCCGCGGUAAUACGGAGGAUGCAAGCGUUAUCCGGAUUCAUUGGGUUUAAAGGGUGCGCAGGCGGAUUUAUAAGUCAGUGGUGAAAUUUUACGGCUCAACAUUAGAACUGCCAUUGAUACUGUCAGUCUUGAGUAUAGUUGAAGUGGGCGGAAUGUGUCAUGUAGCGGUGAAAUGCUUAGAUAUCACACAGAACACCGAUUGCGAAGGCAGCUCACUAAGCUAAAACUGACGCUCAGGCACGAAAGCGUGGGGAUCAAACAGGAUUAGAUACCCUGGUAGUCCACGCUGUAAACGAUGAUUACUCGAUGUUGGCGAUACACAGUCAGGGUCUGAGCGAAAGUAUUAAGUAAUCCACCUGGGAG
rnacentral:rRNA from 1 species